GCCUGGGUGGCUCAGUUGGUUGAGCAUCUGGCUUCAGCUCAGGUCAUGAUCUCACAACUCGUGAGUUCGAGUCCCACAUCAGGCU
rnacentral:tRNA from 1 species